GACGAACGCUGGCGGCGUGCUUAACACAUGCAAGUCGAACGGAAAGGCCUCUUUCGGGGGGUGCUCGAGUGGCGAACGGGUGAGUAACACGUGAGUAACCUGCCCGUGGCUUUGGGAUAAGUUCGGGAAACUGGGGCUAAUACGGGAUAGGAGCUCCUGCUGCAUGGGGGGGGUUUGAAAGUUUCGGCGGUUGGGGGUGGAUUCGUGGCGUAUCGGCUUGUGGGGGGGGUAGUGGGUUACCAAGGCGUAGACGGGUAGCCGGACUGAGGGGGUGACACGCCAUCUUGGGACUGAGGGACGGCCCAGGCGCCGACGGUUGGCAGCAGGGGGGAAUACUGCUCCAGGGGUGGAAGCCUGAUGCAGCAAGUCUGCGUGCGGGAUGACGGCCUUCGGGUGGUAAAACGCUUGCAAUCAUGACGAAGCUUUGUGUGACGGUAGUGGGUAAAGAAGCACCGGCUAACUACGUG
rnacentral:rRNA from 1 species